AAGUAUGAAACGCUCAUGGGCAGCACAAUGGACUGAUACAGGCACCCAAGUGCCUUCCGUGACUGUAACUUUGUUUAAUAUUCCUCCUCGGGUUUCUUUUUGCCUACAGCAGCUCAGAAAUCUGGGUGUCCAAGGAGAACCCCGCCAAGCCUACCUAAUGCAGAGCUGAUCUGAAAACAUGAAGCAUUGAGACCCUUUUCCACCCUUUACUCCAGCAGCAAGAUCUGGGCAGUUUUCUACAUGCAUCUUGCAUAUGCAUUCAUGGUUAACGCUCUGAGGCAGGAUCUGAUGUCAGAGCAGGUCUUGUGGGUAGCAGGAGCUAUAUUUCACCCAGACCUCUGAAGUAGCUGAGCAGCCACUCAACCUGGAGGACAGCAGCUGGCAGUGAGAGGCGGGCAGAGACGUGACCCAGAAGAGCAUCUGCUGAGAAGAGGUGCCAAAGUACAACUUUCAGCCUUACCCUAAAGAGUGUUUACAUCUUUUCUUAUGAAAUGCUGUUGGAAUCAUCCUGUUUCAUGGGGAUUCUGAGUUUCAACACAACGGUUUUCCCAUGCACAGCUCUCUGUUAGAAGGUUUUCAGCUCUUUCUGGCCACAUUACUGGCUAACACAGACUCAGUACAUCUACCUGCAGUAUAGUUGUGGUGUAAGAAAUUCCAUUAACUGAAGCAUUUUAAUAAAAGCUGUACCACUGCAUAUAUGCUUGAAAUCUGCCUAGAAACAUCUUACCUCCAGCGUGACAUAUUCUGAAAGAGCAUUAUCAUUACAGUAAAGCCUCUUCUCUUUCAUCUAUGACCUACUUUACAGUAAUUUCUAUCAAAAAGCACAAAUGCCUACUGAAUAAAACUCUGUACAUUUUAUCCUUUACCCCGGGAUCUUAAAAUCUUUUAUUAACCUUCAUAAAUUAACCUCUCAGUGGCACCCUAGGUGAUGCUCGCGGCACGCUUUGGGAAACUGAGGAAGUGGAGGCAAAGACUGAAAUGCUGAGCUGCCGUAUGAGCCUGCAGUGGGCCCAUGAGGCUGCCAAGGCCAUCUGAGUUCCCAGAAGCUCAGUUCUACUACCUCAGUGUCUUCUCCUGAACUUAGUCAUAAAAUAACGGGGAGUGGGGAGAGCUCUUCUGGCACACAGGCUGUGGAAAUCCUUCGGCUAUUUUGCUCUUAUUCAGUUCCCACAUGAUCGAUUAGCACAUGUGAUGUAACGUUUUAUUAUAAAAUUUAGGGGCUUCAAUUGUACCAGGAAGUAAAGCAGUGAAAAGGAAAAGAAGGGAAGUAGUUCCAGACCCUAUGCUUGUCCUUGAGAUCCUCUGCCAGUAAGCGGCUCUUGUCCUGCCCUGUAUUUUUAGUUUUCUUUGUCGUGAGACUGAAGAGCUGGACAGAUACCAGGAAAACUAAUGGACUGACUGACUACGCAGAGACAGAAAGUGGGAAUAGCCAUUAUGUCCUGACAGCUGCCCCAAAUAAACAAGGAGAAAGAGGGAAGGAGUCUUCUGAGCUAUUGUUCUGGAGCCACACAUGCAAGAAGUGAGAGAAGACAAAACAUCUUCCACCUGGAAAUGUUUUUUUUUUUAGAGGACCAUAUUCCCCUCCUGCAAGGAUAUGGCAAAAACCUAUUAUAAUCAGCACCGUGAAUCAUAUGUCCUCACUACAGCUUGAGGAAGAGACUUCUUCAAGCCACAGAACAAAAAUGUGGUUUUUUGAAUGCCUUUAUGCCUUCUCAACACAGUGCUCACAUUUGCUGACAAAAACCCCUAAUGAGUUUUCGUGCAGAUUUCUUAUUUUGUUUUAUUUCAUUUUAUUGUAUUGUAUUGUAUUGUAUUGUAUUUUAUUUUAUCAUGCAUUCUAUCAGUUGCAGUUGAUAACAGUGGCAACAGUCAUACAGUGUAAUUAGCACUGUUGCUCUUCUGGCUUUGGUUUCAGCUCUAUGAAGGCAGGACUUUUAUGGGCUGCAAACCAAGGGCACUUUGUGAGUACUUUUCUGGCUUCUAGGAAGUGAUCAGUAGUGACAGCUAAACAUCCCAUCUAUUAUUUAUCAGCUUUAUCACAGUUUUGAGUUUUGCCCUUUAUAUCAUGCAGGAAAUGGAGCAGAGAAAUAGAACACCUCUGCAUGGGAAAUCACUUAACAUUGCAUGGAUUGAUCAAAAAACAAACCAGACCAGCAGCCAGGGACAGGGAAUGUGGACACCAGAAGGAAGAAGCAGGCUGCCAAAUGUUGGGGUUCAUAUAUUGACAGCUCCUCACGAUAUCUUUCAUUUUAAAAAACUGCAGUGUUCAUCCAUGCUGAAAGUCAGAAAAGGCAGUUCCACUGCCUAUGUCUGCAGAGGGCACAGGCAAGCAUUAUGCUGGUUCAUGGAAGUCUGCAUAAGAAAGGCACUCAAACUCUAUAAAGUAUCAUUUAAGUGCUAUGUUUUAGAGCUAAUGCUAUAAAGAAAGUAAGAAUGGCAUACAUAACUGUACAUCCCUUCUGAUGCCGGGAUGCUAGAGAAGUUUGUCCUGUAGACAAGGGAUGCAUGUGGCACAGCACAGUGUGGGGACUGCAGUUCAUGUGUGAGAUGGCUGCUUUGUGGGUGAGCACAGACAGAGGAGCUC